UCCACUCACGGACCACAAAUCGGUAUCACUUCAGGUCUUUUUCAAUACUAAUGCUGCCCAAAUUUGCAGGAGCUGCUACUGGAAACUUAAUAAUUCCCUUCUAAAACAUGAGAAAGUGAUUGAAGAUAUUUUGUCAUUAAUCAAACGUUUCUGGGAUAAAGCCCUAACUAGUCAUCUCUACUGUCAAAAUUGGGAACUCUUUAAAUUUGAAGCCGGUAAAUAUUUAAGAGAGUAUGGCUCAUCUGCAGCAAAACAAAGGAAAAAUCAAGAAAUUAAUGUAAUUACUAGGAUAUCUGCUCUCACUCAGAUCCCACCAGAGAACAUAUCUGAAGAAGAUAAAACUGACUUAGCUUUGCAACAGAGUAAGUGAAAUGAUAUCUAUAAACUGAAAGCAGAGGGAGCCUUUGUGAGAUCAAGGAGAAGCUGGUUUGAAGAAGGUAAACAACACUCAUCCUGCUUUUUUAAAUUAGAGAAAUCUCGUUCUAAACUUAGUUCUGUUCGGAGACUUAAUAUUGACGGUAUUAUAACUGAUGUCCCCCGAAAAGUCUCCACCUAUUGCUCCAAUUUUUAUAAAGAUUUAUACAAGUCAGUUUGAUGAGAGUGCUGCUCUGAACUUUAUGGAUCAAAUCCCUGAUGUGCGAACAGUAAAAGAAGAUCAGAUGAGUUUCUGUGAUAGGCCGAUAUCUAUUGGUGAAGUGCUGCUAUUCGACAUCUUAAACUUAAUAAGUCCCCAGGAACCGAGGGCUUAACCUCUGAAUUUUACAUUACUUUUGCAGAUCAACUGGCUCCAUUUCUUCUUAAUGUAUACAUUGAAAGUCUUAUAAAUCAGUCUCUUCCCCCCACUUUGUCACAAGGUCUGUUAACCCCAAUCCCAAAGCCAAAGAAAGAUCCCACUUAUAUUGACAAUUGGAUUAUUGAUGAAACUCAGUCUGGCUUUAUGGCUUACAGACACAUAUCCAACAACAUUAGACUUGUUUUUGACCUAAUUGAUUAUGCAGAUUUGUGUAGGGAUGAUAGCUUAUUCAUAAAUUUCUGCAAAGCGUUUCAUACGAUUGAAUAUGGUUUUAUUUUUCAGGCUUUUUACAAAUUUGGCUUUGGUCCUUACUUUCAGAAUGCAAUUAAAACAAUGUCCAAAAAUGUAAAUUGCUCCAUCAAACUACAAGCCGGUACACUGUUGGGUCUUUCUAACACAGGCCCAGUGCUGGAACGAGACAGUUUAGCUACACAGCAAAGGCACUGAACACCAAGUAGGCAAAGUUCUUUGCGUUACUCAUGCACGAGGGAGAUCUGCCUGGAGCUAAGUGUCGUUCCAACCACUUGACCUCCGUCAGACUCUCAGCCAGGUUCCCCAUAGGGCUUUGGAGCGCGAUGUCAUGGGGGUGGGUGUGGAAAGGAUUUUGGCCUGAUCCACCAUUUUCGGGGUCUAAGCGCAAGCGGCAGGCGAAGGAGCGAAAGCACAGCCAUGGUUCGUACUUGCUGUGUGGUCGGCUGCAAUGUUUGAUCUUACGAUCGGCACGGGAAUAAGCUUGGGUUGUCUUUUUAUGCUUUCCCAACCUGGAAGCAAUUUCAAGGAGCUCAGGUAUCGGAUGUUACCAAACGAAGGCGUCGAGCCUGGAUAGCAGCCGUGAGACGAGCUGAUAUCAAGUUCUGUUCCAUCUCCCGGUAUCACUUGGUGUGCUCCAGACAUUUUCAUUCCGGGAAGCCUGCCUAUGAAAUGGAUCAAACAAAUCAAGACUGGGUACCAACGCUACACAUGGGGCACUCCGAAAUCCGAACAUCACAUGCAGACCGUCACAGGAGGCGAACACAACGGGAACAAAAGAAAGCACUAGUAGGAGGCUUUCACAAUGGAGCAGCAAAGUGUGAAGGUGAAGCCUCAGCAGAAGUUACCACAGAAUAGCAGCCAGAGAUGAACACCACAGAAGAGCAACACCAUAACAACCCUGUGAUUUUGUCUGAGGGCCAGAUUUGUGAUGGACAAGUAGAAGCAGAGGUAACGGGUGCAGAUGCAGAAAACGGUGAUCUCAGAGAGAGACAGACAGAAGAUCAAAGACCGACAAUUGAUUGUGUGCGCUGUGUACAGAGCAGAGCAGAAAUAAACCGGCUGCUGGAGGAGAACAGAAAGCUUGUCUUGGACAAGACAGAGCUGAAUGAAAACUUUUUACAGGGUGACAUGGAAAAAGUGAAAUAUUACACUGGUCUUACUUGUUUUGCUAUUUUUAUGUCUGUGCUAGACAAUGUAAAAGCUUUCCUACCAGCAUCAAAGAAACUGUCCCAUUUCCAAAUGCUUUUACUCACACUUAUGCGACUUAGACUUGAUUUUCCUGUUGUUAAGAGAUUUUCAAAUGUUUCAAGUAUUAUUCCCACUGCCAUUUGUACGUUAUUGAAAGUUUAUCUUUAAUUUCAGUGUUAAUAGUUGUUUACCCAUUUAUUCUUUCCAUUUAAUCGUAUUUUACUGCUUCACUAGAAGUGAAGCUGAAGUAAAGACAAAAGCAUAGUGUUCUCAGAUAUGAUUUACCCAGUAUAUUUCCUCUGCACCUGGUUCUCUACGAGCCGUUUCACUCCCAGGAAGGGGAGAGCAGGACGUUCUUAUCUAUACACUCCCAAAUACCAAGAGGGGCCCAUUCUUCAGAAUCACACACACACACUCUGAGAUCAUACACACACACACACACACACAUACUCUGAAACGCUAUAAAUAAAGAACUGCCGCAUACGCUGGUUGUGAGCCUGAGACAGCAGCGCUCACCCAGCGUGCGCACGUUGUUACCAUCCAAACUGUCUUGAGUGUCUUUAUUUCGCCUGAAGAAUGUCUUGUUUAAAUAUUUACUCCUUACAUUUAUUUGGUCCUUCGAGCCAACAGAGUGACCUCGUCGUUUCCUGGAUUCGUGAACCCACGCUGCAAAGUCUGUCGCGACAGCCUGUUUCUAGUGAAACAGUAAAGACCAACUACGUGAAUUCGCCGUUGGCCAGCGUUUUUAGCAAGAGGUCCACGAUCCCAGGGAGCGAGGAGGAUUCUCUCUGACCGGCAUUUUCAUCCGAACCAGGUGAAUAUAAACACUCAAGAACACAUUGCGGCUAAAAUCGGUUUUUAGAUUGACACAGUUCUUAAAAGACUCGUCCUUUAAGAACUGGAAGUCAGGGAUCUCACUCUUACGAGUGAAAGGACUCGCCUGUAAGACGGAACUGGCAGUCCCCUGGGGGACUCGUUCCGCAAUUAAAAGGCUGGAAGUCAGGGAUCUCACUCUUACGAGUGAAUGAAAAUAAAGGGAUCUCACUCUCACGAGUGAAAGGACUCGCCUGUAAGACGGAGUUUGACGGUCCUGUGUGGGGUCACUCCGCAGUUUAAAAGGUUGGAAGUCAGGGAUCUCACUCUCACGAGUGAAUGAAAAUAAAGAACAUGUCAACUAAAAUAGGAUUGUAGUACCGCGUGUGAAGUUUGUGUGUUGUUGAGGAGCGAGUGACCUUUUGAAUAGAAACAACAGGUUUCUGCACCACUCUUACUGUUUCCUGUGUUGACCGAUGUACUGGUGAGAAGGGGUCAAAGGUUGCGCUUCAACGCAUAAAAUUAAGGCCGCCCUGGGUCUAGACCAGGGUAGAAGGCUGCCUUAAUAACCUCCCCGACUCUAAUAUCAGCGAAGGUCACACAGAGUGUAUGUUGGCAGUAUUAAUAAAUAAAAGCAAAACAAGGUGAUUCCAAAUACAACAAAUCAAAAUACAUAUAGGAAAAAUAAAAUUAUAAGCAAUUUACAAUAAAAUAUUAUUGAUAACUCUAAGCCCAAAAAAUGGGAAAUAAACCCGCAAAGCCUGAAUUGACUGCAGAUGAACUAUGGUUAGAAAAGAAAUGCCCCGGUGCAGGACAAAUAAGCGCAAACAGAUGGAGAAAU